rnacentral:rRNA from 1 species
UGCCAGACUCCUACGGGAGGCAGCAGUGGGGAAUCUUCCGCAAUGGGCGAAAGCCUGACGGAGCAACGCCGCGUGAUCGAAUGAAGGCCUUCGGGUUGUAAAGAUCUGUUGACAGGGACGAAUAAGCAAUGCGAAUAGUUUUGUGUAUGACGGUACCUGUUUAGAAAGCUCCGGCUAACUACGUGCCAGCAGCCGCGGUAAUACGUAGGGAGCAAGCGUUGUCCGGAAUUACUGGGCGUAAAGGGCGCGUAGGUGGGCGCUUAAGUCAGGUGUGAAAACUCCGGGCUCAACCUGGAGACUGCACUUGAAACUGUGUUUCUUGAGUGCUGGAGAGGCAAUCGGAAUUCCGUGUGUAGCGGUGAAAUGCGUAGAUAUACGGAGGAACACCAGUGGCGAAGGCGGAUUGCUGGACAGUAACUGACGCUGAGGCGCGAAAGCGUGGGGAGCAAACAGGAUUAGAUACCCCAGUACG